rnacentral:misc_RNA from 1 species
UACACUGCCAUGGAUGUGCGG